AGUCGAACGAGAGAGAAGGAGCUUGCUUCUUCGAUCGAGUGGCGAACGGGUGAGUAACGCGUGAGGAACCUGCCUCAAAGAGGGGGACAGCAGUUGGAAACGACUGCUAAUACCGCAUAAGCCCACGGGUCGGCAUCGACCUGAGGGAAAAGGAGUGAUCCGCUUUGAGAUGGCCUCGCGUCCGAUUAGCUAGUUGGUGAGGUAAUGGCCCACCAAGGCGACGAUCGGUAGCCGGACUGAGAGGUUGAACGGCCACAUUGGGACUGAGACACGGCCCAGACUCCUACGGGAGGCAGCAGUGGGGAAUAUUGCACAAUGGGGGAAACCCUGAUGCAGCGACGCCGCGUGGAGGAAGAAGGUCUUCGGAUUGUAAACUCCUGUUGUUGAGGAAGAUAAUGACGGUACUCAACAAGGAAGUGACGGCUAACUACGUGCCAGCAGCCGCGGUAAAACGUAGGUCACAAGCGUUGUCCGGAAUUACUGGGUGUAAAGGGAGCGCAGGCGGGAAGACAAGUUGGAAGUGAAAUCUAUGGGCUCAACCCAUAAACUGCUUUCAAAACUGUUUUUCCUGAGUAGUGCAGAGGUAGGCGGAAUUCCCGGUGUAGCGGUGGAAUGCGUAGAUAUCGGGAGGAACACCAGUGGCGAAGGCGGCCUACUGGGCACCAACUGACGCUGAGGCUCGAAAGUGUGGGUAGCAAACAGGAUUAGAUACCCUGGUAGUCCACACCGUAAACGAUGAUUACUAGGUGUUGGAGGAUUGACCCCUUCAGUG
rnacentral:rRNA from 1 species